rnacentral:tRNA from 1 species
GGGUGUAAUUCAGUGGUAGAAUGUUUGCUUCCCAAGCAAAAUGCCGGGGGUUCGAGUCCCCUCGCC